GAUGAACGCUGGCGGCGUGCUUAACACAUGCAAGUCGAACGGGAUCCCAGGAGCUUGCUCCUGGGUGAGAGUGGCGAACGGGUGAGUAAUGCGUGACCGACCUGCCCCAUACACCGGAAUAGCUCCUGGAAACGGGUGGUAAUGCCGGAUGCUCCAGUUGACCGCAUGGUCCUCUGGGAAAGCUUUUGCGGUAUGGGAUGGGGUCGCGUCCUAUCAGCUUGAUGGCGGGGUAACGGCCCACCAUGGCUUCGACGGGUAGCCGGCCUGAGAGGGCGACCGGCCACAUUGGGACUGAGAUACGGCCCAGACUCCUACGGGAGGCAGCAGUGGGGAAUAUUGCACAAUGGGCGCAAGCCUGAUGCAGCGACGCCGCGUGCGGGAUGACGGCCUUCGGGUUGUAAACCGCUUUUGACUGGGAGCAAGCCCUUCGGGGUGAGU
rnacentral:rRNA from 1 species